rnacentral:rRNA from 1 species
UACGUAGGGACCAAGCGUUGUUCGGAUUUACUGGGCGUAAAGGGCGCGUAGGCGGCAAAUUAAGUCAGCUGUGAAAUCUCCGAGCUUAACUCGGAACUGUCAGCUGAUACUGAUGUGCUAGAGUGCGGAAGGGGCAAUCGGAAUUCUUGGUGUAGCGGUGAAAUGCGUAGAUAUCAGGAGGAACACCGGUGGCGAAGGCGCUGCUCUGGGCCGGUACUGACGCUGAGGAGCGAAAGCGUGGGUAGCAAACAGG